rnacentral:rRNA from 1 species
AGAGUUUGAUCAUGGCUCAGAUUGAACGCUGGCGGCAUGCCUUACACAUGCAAGUCGAGCGGCAGCGCGGGGGCAACCCUGGCGGCGAGCGGCGAACGGGUGAGUAAUGCAUCGGAACGUGUCCUCUUGUGGGGGAUAACCAGUCGAAAGACUGGCUAAUACCGCAUGAGCUCGAGAGAGGAAAGCAGGGGAUCCGCAAGGACCUUGCGCGAGAGGAGCGGCCGAUGCCCGAUUAGCUAGUUGGUGGGGUAAAAGCCUACCAAGGCGACGAUCGGUAGCUGGUCUGAGAGGACGACCAGCCACACUGGGACUGAGACACGGCCCAGACUCCUACGGGAGGCAGCAGUGGGGAAUUUUGGACAAUGGGGGCAACCCUGAUCCAGCCAUGCCGCGUGUGUGAAGAAGGCCUUCGGGUUGUAAAGCACUUUCGGACGGAACGAAAUCGCGCGGGUGAAUAUCCCGCGUGGAUGACGGUACCGUAAGAAGAAGCACCGGCUAACUACGUGCCAGCAGCCGCGGUAAUACGUAGGGUGCGAGCGUUAAUCGGAAUUACUGGGCGUAAAGUGUGCGCAGGCGGCGUUGCAAGUCGAGUGUGAAAUCCCCGAGCUUAACUUGGGAAUUGCGCUCGAAACUACGAUGCUCGAGUGUGGCAGAGGAAGGUGGAAUUCCACGUGUAGCGGUGAAAUGCGUAGAGAUGUGGAGGAACACCGAUGGCGAAGGCAGCCUUCUGGGCCAACACUGACGCUCAUGCACGAAAGCGUGGGGAGCAAACAGGAUUAGAUACCCCGGUAGUCC